GGAGGAAGAACUGAAGAUAAAAAGACAUAUUUGAGAAAGGAGCUGGAAAAAGAAGGCAGGUAGGAAAGAUUUGAAAGUUUCAAGUGAGAUGGAGAUCCCUCUUCAUCAGCAAAGCAGUAGAAUUGGGGGUGACAGAAAGGAACACUGCCACAUGUCCCCCAGAAAAUCCUGAGCAGAAGUCUUCCUCAUCACCAAUCUGAAUUGCUUUCCUUGGAACCGAGUCUUUCUGAGGGAGUUUUGGGGGGGCUGGAGUUUGAACACAGGAGGAAGCAGUUCUUUGGGGGCCCUGCCCAUCCUAGCAGGGACCUUGGAAAGCCCCCAGGCCCUGGGCAGGACAGCACGGAGUUCUCCUCAUCCACCUGUUCCCCAGCAGCUGAGUAAUCUCCAGCAAAGCCCAGGGAUCCCUCAGUGAUGCUGAGACAGACAAGAGAGUGUGAAGCAGUCCCUGCAGUGUCUACAGUUGAGUAAAGAAGCAUCUGGAAAUACAAAAGUGACUCAUGUGAGAGGAACAGGAAGUUCUCAUGCCAAUUGAAAUAGAAAAACGGGGAAUUGCAGGAGCAAGGAUGGGUUGCAAGAGGCCAAGGACUGACAUCUUGCUUUCUGGCAUUAGUCAGAUACAGCAGUACAAUCAUGCGGGAGGCACUGUGAAAAGUAGCUCUUUUCAGAAAUGCAUAGCAUUGUGGAAACAGACCUCCCUAUGCACCCAUUCCCCAUUGCAAUAAAUGUCCAAUGUAGUCAGUAAUAUCCAAA